GGGCUUUUGGCGCAAUGGUAACGCGUUUGACUUCGAAUCAAAAGAUUGCAGGUUCGAGUCCUGCAGGGCUCA
rnacentral:tRNA from 1 species